CGGGGCGUCUCACCAUUUGCAGAGGUCCGAACAGGAAGUGCAGCAGCUCCUGGGAGGAGGGGUUGGCGAUGUUGCCGCGCAGCCGGGCCUGCGGAGCGGGGAGGCGCCGGUGUCAGUGUGCGGACAGGCCAAUGGUAUCAACAGAUUUCUCGGAUGGGAGACUGUGGCCCAAAGAGGGAAAACGGCCUCCCAGAGACCUGCUGGUCCGCUCUUCUCCCUGCUGCCAGUCCAGCCCCCUUACCAGAGCGCCGCCGCCCUGCGCUCCCCGCGGCCCGAGCGGUAGCUGUGAAGAGCCCCCUGGAUGUCCUCUCGGAUCAGCUCCACCUGCCAAUCACGCCAAUUAAGCCACGACCCCACCCCACCCCACCCCAGGUGGCGCUCGGGCUCGAGUCCUUGGCUCCGCCCCAGACCACGUGCAGUCAUCGCUCACGCACAGCAUCCACGUCACGCCCCCUCAGCUGGCCCUGACCCCGCCUUUGCCCCAGACCACGCCUCCAAUCUUAAAGGCCCCGCCGGGCCGGCGGCCCGGGCCCGGACUCCGCCCAGUUCCAGUUCCGCCCCUGGAAUCUGCAGCGUCCCAGCCCGGUCCUGGGAGGUGGCCGCGACUCCGGCCCACUCACCCC